GAUGAACGCUAGCUACAGGCUUAACACAUGCAAGUCGCGGGACCGGCGCACGGGUGAGUAACGCGUAUCCAACCUGCCCUUCACCACGGGAUAACGCGGAGAAAGUCGGACUAAUACAGUAUGGUGAAGGAGGGGGAUGCGUCCGGUUAGCUUGACGGCGGGGGAACGGCCCACAGGGGCGGCGAUCGGUAGGGGUUCGGAGAGGAAGGUCCCCCACACUUGAACUGAGACCCGGUCCAGACUCCUACGGGAGGCAGCAGUGAGGAAUAUUGGUCAAUGGGCGUAAGCCUGAACCAGCCAAGUAGCGUGCAGGACGACGGCCUAUGGGUUGUAAACUGCUUUUAUGCGGGGAUAGGUACCGCAUGAAUAAGGACCGGCUAAUUCCGUGCCAGCCGCCGCGGUAAUUC
rnacentral:rRNA from 1 species